AAACUUUAGAGUUUGGUGCUAGCUCAGCUUUCAUGCACCAUGCGGCGGGUUAUACAUGCGAGCUUAAAAGAUAAGCGCACGAGUGAGUAUAUACGCGAGUUU
rnacentral:rRNA from 1 species